rnacentral:rRNA from 1 species
GUCUAAGUAUAAGCAACUAUACGGUGAAACUGCGAAUGGCUCAUUAAAUCAGUUAUCGUUUAUUUGAUAGUACCUUACUACUUGGAUAACCGUGGUAAUUCUAGAGCUAAUACAUGCUAAAAACCCCGACUUCGGAAGGGGUGUAUUUAUUAGAUAAAAAACCAGCGCCCUUCGGGGCUCCUUGGUGAUUCAUAAUAACUUAACGAAUCGCAUGGCCUUGCGCCGGCGAUGGUUCAUUCAAAUUUCUGCCCUAUCAACUUUCGAUGGUAGGAUAGUGGCCUACCAUGGUAUCAACGGGUAACGGGGAAUUAGGGUUCUAUUCCGGAGAGGGAGCCUGAGAAACGGCUACCACAUCCAAGGAAGGCAGCAGGCGCGCAAAUUACCCAAUCCCGACACGGGGAGGUAGUGACAAUAAAUACUGAUACAGGGCUCUUUUGGGUCUUGUAAUUGGAAUGAGUACAAUUUAAAUCCCUUAACGAGGAACAAUUGGAGGGCAAGU